rnacentral:rRNA from 1 species
GCGUGAGUGAUGAAGGCCUUAGGGUUGUAAAGCUCUUUCGUCCGGGACGAUAAUGACGGUACCGGAAGAAGAAGCCCCGGCUAACUUCGUGCCAGCAGCCGCGGUAAUACGAAGGGGGCUAGCGUUGCUCGGAAUCACUGGGCGUAAAGGGCGCGUAGGCGGCCGAUCAAGUCAGAGGUGAAAGCCCAAGGCUCAACCUUGGAAUUGCCUUUGAUACUGUUCGGCUCGAGACCGGAAGAGGUUAGUGGAACUGCGAGUGUAGAGGUGAAAUUCGU